rnacentral:snRNA from 1 species
AUACUUACCUGGCAGGGGAGAUUCCAUGACCACGAGGGUGGUUUUCCCCGGGCAAGGCUUAUCCAUUGCACUCUGGAUGUGCUGAACCCCUGCGAUUUCCCCAAAUGUGGGAAACUCGACUGCAUAAUUUGUGAUAGUGGGGGACUGCGUUCGCGCUUUCCCCUA